rnacentral:tRNA from 1 species
GGAGAGGUGGCCGAGUGGCUGAAGGCAACGGUUUGCUAAACCGUCAUAGCGUGUUUAGCGUUAUCGGGGGUUCGAAUCCCCCCCUCUCCG